rnacentral:rRNA from 1 species
UACGUAGGGGGCAAGCGUUGUCCGGAAUCAUUGGGCGUAAAGCGCGUGUAGGCGGCUCGGUAAGUCUGCUCUGAAAGUCCAAGGCUCAACCUUGGGAUGCGGGUGGAUACUGCCGGGCUCGAGUCCGGAAGAGGCGAGUGGAAUUCCUGGUGUAGCGGUGAAAUGCGCAGAUAUCAGGAGGAACACCGAUGGCGAAGGCAGGUCUCUGGGCAUUAACUGACGCUGAGGAGCGGAAGCAUGGGGAGCGAACAGG